GAUGAACGCUGGCGGCGUGCCUAAUACAUGCAAGUCGAGCGAACGGACGAGAAGCUUGCUUCUCUGAUGUUAGCGGCGGACGGGUGAGUAACACGUGGAUAACCUACCUAUAAGACUGGGAUAACUUCGGGAAACCGGAGCUAAUACCGGAUAAUAUUUUGAACCGCAUGGUUCAAAAGUAAAAGACGGUCUUGCUGUCACUUAUAGAUGGAUCCGUGCUGCAUUAGCUAGUUGGUAAGGUAACGGCUUACCAAGGCAACGAUGCAUAGCCGACCUGAGAGGGUGAUCGGCCACACUGGAACUGAGACACGGUCCAGACUCCUACGGGAGGCAGCAGUAGGGAAUCUUCCGCAAUGGGCGAAAGCCUGACGGAGCAACGCCGCGUGAGUGAUGAAGGUCUUCGGAUCGUAAAACUCUGUUAUUAGGGAAGAACAUAUGUGUAAGUAACUGUGCACAUCUUGACGGUACCUAAUCAGAAAGCCACGGCUAACUACGUG
rnacentral:rRNA from 1 species